UGCGUAGGCGGCAGGGCAAGUGAGGCGUGAAAGCCCCUGGCUAAACUAGGGGAGGACAUCUCAGACUGCCCAGCUAGAGUGAAACAGAGGAGCGCGGAAUUCGGGGUGUAGCGGUGAAAUGUGUAGAGAUCCCGAGGAACACCAGUGGUGCAAACGGCGCUCUGGGUUUGAACUGACGCUGAGGCACGAAAGCUUGGGGAGCGAACGGGAUUAGAGACCCCGGUAGUCCAAGCCGUAAACGAUGUCAACUGGGUGUUUGGGACGGGAAACCGGACUGGGUGCCGAAGCUAACGCGGUAAGUUGACCGCCUGGGGAGUACGGUCGCAAGGCUAAA
rnacentral:rRNA from 1 species